GAUGAACGCUGGCGGCGUGCCUAAUACAUGCAAGUCGAGCGAACAGACGAGGAGCUUGCUCCUUUGACGUUAGCGGCGGACGGGUGAGUAACACGUGGGUAACCUACCUAUAAGACUGGGAUAACUUCGGGAAACCGGAGCUAAUACCGGAUAAUAUUUCGAACCGCAUGGUUCGAUAGUGAAAGAUGGCUCUGCUAUCACUUAUAGAUGGACCUGCGCCGUAUUAGCUAGUUGGUAAGGUAACGGCUUACCAAGGCAACGAUACGUAGCCGACCUGAGAGGGUGAUCGGCCACACUGGAACUGAGACACCGUCCAGACUCCUACGGGAGGCAGCAGUAUGGAAUGUUCCGCAAUGGGCGAAAGCCUUACGGAGCAACGCCGCGUGAGUUAUGAAGGUCUUCGGAUCGUAAAACCCGGUUAUUAGGGAAGAACAAACGUGUAAGUAACCGUGCACGUCUUGACGGUACCUAAUCAGAAAGCCCCGGCUAACUACGUG
rnacentral:rRNA from 1 species